GAGAGAGAGGGAGAGGGAGAGAGUUUUAAAAAUAGCUAUUUUAAUGAAAAGAACAGCUCCCCUGAAGAACUGGGCAGUCCUUUCUGCAGGCUUUGCUGCCGAAACUCACGGUCCAAAUUGAUUUUUUCCCCCUCUUCUUUAAAGGUAAGUGAUGAAAUACUGUGGGUUUGAAAGGGCUGACAUUUUGGGUAGCAAUUAAACUCAGUCCCAUCUAGCCGCGCGGCAGCUGGUGGCGGGCAGGCUCGUUAUGGCGGAAAGGCAGGCAGAGGAUUACGUGGUGGGCCAAGCUCAGGCCCACUGCCUGCAGCCAGGGACUCCAACAUGCAGCCAAGGCUGGGAACCUGCAAUCUGGCUCAGCCUAGCAUCCAGACCCAGAUGGUGCAACACCUGGCAGACCCUGGCAGGUCUGGCUCAACCGUAAGGGGCCAAGAAGUGCAAUCCUACUGUGUCCCCAGGGCUGCUGAACUUAUACAGCCUGUUGACUCCUUUGGGAACGGUUCAUCUGGUGGGAGUUGGGGAGAAGGAAUAGGGAAUGUAUACCCACCCCUGGGGCACCCCAAGAGGCAGCACCUGCGAUAGUCCUGUGCCUGUGCCUGGAGGGUGGGCUUGGAGAAGGGGCCUGGGAUGGGGGGGGGGGCAGUCGUGGCUAUGUUUCCAAGCCACAUUCUCUGGGACUAUGUGCCCAACUCUCGAGUUAUUAACCAGUUGAUUCCAUGUCAACCUGGGGGGCUGAAUGUGAUGAUUGCCUCAAGCAUCCCCCCCAUCAUAAACAAAUAAAACUCAUUCUCUUGUCUCCUCCACUUUGAGAGAAAAACAACCAAAACUUGAAGAAAC
rnacentral:lncRNA from 1 species